GUGUAAUGAGCGGUGCGGUGUUGUUCAUACAGCAGGAUCUCAACAUAACCGAAGUGCAGACGGAAGUCCUCAUCGGCAGCCUCAGCAUCAUCUCUCUCUUCGGCAGCUUAGCCGGCGGCAGAACCUCUGACUCCAUCGGCAGGAAAUGGACCAUGGCCUUGGCUGCUCUUGUCUUCCAGACCGGCGCUGCCGUCAUGGCGGUUGCUCCUUCCUUCGAGGUUCUCAUGAUCGGAAGAACUUUUGCUGGGAUUGGUAUCGGACUUGGCGUCAUGAUUGCUCCUGUCUACAUCGCGGAGAUAUCUCCCACGGUGGCUAGAGGCUUCCUCACUUCGUUCCCUGAGAUCUUUAUCAACUUAGGGAUCUUGCUCGGCUAUGUCUCCAACUAUGCCUUCUCUGGUCUUUCCGUGCAUAUCAGCUGGAGGAUCAUGCUUGCAGUUGGUAUCCUUCCUUCGGUCUUUAUAGGAUUUGCGUUGUGUGUGAUACCUGAAUCGCCUAGGUGGCUGGUGUUGAAAGGUCAAGUGGACAAAGCACGAGAGGUUCUCAUGAAGACGAAUGAGAGAGACGACGAAGCGGAGGAGCGGCUAGCUGAGAUACAACUGGCGGCUGCGAAGACAGAAGGCGGCGAGGAGAGACCCGUCUGGCGUGAGCUUCUUAGCCCAUCUCCUACUGUAAGAAAAAUGCUCAUCGUUGGGUUUGGGAUCCAGUGUUUCCAGCAGAUCACAGGUAUCGACGCCACAGUCUACUAUAGCCCAGAGAUUCUGAAAGAGGCAGGGAUACAAGACGAGACCAAGCUGCUCGCUGCAACUGUUGCUGUCGGGAUUACGAAAACGUUGUUCAUACUCAUCGCCACCUUCAUGAUCGAUAGCGUUGGAAGGAAACCGCUGCUUUACGUGAGCACAAUUGGAAUGACACUGUGUCUCUUUAGUCUAAGCUUCACUCUCACGUUUCUCGGCCAAGGAACGCUUGGCAUAGCCUUGGCGCUUCUUUUUGUUUGCGGGAAUGUUGCUUUCUUCUCUAUUGGGAUGGGCCCUGUCUGCUGGGUCUUGACGUCGGAGAUCUUCCCGUUACGGCUAAGAGCGCAGGCAUCAGCGCUUGGAGCUGUCGGGAACAGGGUCUGCAGCGGUCUGGUGGCCAUGUCUUUCCUAUCGGUGUCACGCGCCAUCACUGUCGGAGGAACGUUCUUUGUAUUCUCCCUUGUGUCUGCGCUCUCGGUUGUCUUUGUGUACAUGCUAGUCCCGGAGACGAGUGGGAAGUCGCUGGAGCAAAUAGAGUUGAUGUUUCAGGGUGGGGUUCGGAACCGGGGAGGGAGCUGCUUCAGGUUGCGGGUUUGAGACAGAGGGUUGGGAGUUUGUGGUGGUGAUGUCGGGUUGGUGUGUCUGCACAUUACCUGACGAUGUGGCCGGUGAACUCUGACCUGAACCCACUGCAUUAUCAUGCUCUGCAGAAGCAGAACUAGUUGACGACGAAGUCGUCUGGUGAGGAUCCUGGCCCGGGGGAGGUGUUGAAGACGAGUGUACGAGUGUAGGCGUUGAGAUAGGAAUCAUGGUAGGUGGUGCGAAAGUGGUUUGAGCGGGCUCUUCUUCUCUGGUUGUUGAGGUGGAAGGAGGGGUGUAUGGGAACUCCGACUCAAUAAAUGUGACAUGCCGAGACGUGUAGAUGCGGCCAGUUGGAGUGUGAAGGCACAGAUAUGCACUUUGAGAAAGGGAGUAGCCGAGGAACACACAUCGUAGACAGCGGUUGUCCAGUUUAUUUUUGGCAUAUGGACGGAGCCACGGGAAACAUGCAGACCCAAACACCUUGAGCUUCAGAUAGUUAGGCGGCUUGUUGAAGAGCUUUGCAUAUGGAGACUGAUUUUUGAGCACCGGUGAAGGCUGGCGGUUGAUCAAGUACACCGCAGCAGCAAAAGCAUAAGUCCAGUACUGCGUUGGGAUUGCAGCCUGAUGUAGGAGAGUCAGACCAGUCUCAACUAUGUGACGGUGUUUCCGUUCCGCAAUGCCAUUGUGUUCAGGAGUGUGAAGUGGCGAAGUGAAAUGUGAGAUGCCAUGGGUUGCUAAGAACGCGCGCAACACUAAAAACUCUCCUCCAUUGUCGGAGUAGAGAUUACGGAUAGGCAGAGCAAAGUGUUUCUCCACAACGGCUUUGAACUGUAUGAAGGUUUCGCGCACUUGGGAUUUUUUUUUGAGAGGGUAUAGCCAUGUAUAACGGGUAAAGUGAUCAACAAAGAUAAGGUAAUAUUCGUAUUGAUCAAUAGAAGUAAUGGGAGAAGUCCAGACAUCUGUAUAGAUAUACUGAAGGGGUUGAGAAGAAGAGAUUGUGUUUGUAUGAAAAGGAAGUUUGUGACUUUUAUUAAUAAGGCAAUGAGAACAAGGAAGUUUUUGAGAAGAAUCAGAAACAGGUAAAGCAAAUUGAGAAACAACAGAUUGUAAAAUAGAAGAGGAUGGGUGUCCCAAGCGCGAGUGCCAAAAACUGAGAGAGGUUUUCGGUGUGGGUGAGGCGAAUAGGGUGAUGGUAUUGCGGGAUGUAACCGGCCACUCGUACAACUCGUCUUUAGUUUUGCCUUGGAGCAAUCGGACCCCCGUGCUGAGAUCCUUCACCUGAAAGUGAGCAGGGAAAAAUUCAACAGACACAUUGUUAGUAUUGCACAGACGGUAUACAGAAAUAAGAUUUUUCUGUAAAUUUGGAAUAUAUAAGACAUUGUUUAAGGCGAAAGGACGAGUUUGGGAGUUUAAGGAAAAGGAACCAGUAUGCGAGAUUGGAAUGGUAGAUCCAUCAGCGAGAGUGACCUCUUCCCCGCCAGUAUAGGGCUGGUGAAGUGCGAAGCUGCUCAAGUCGGUGGUGAGAUGAUGUGUUGCACCGCUGUCGAGAAUCCAAUUGUUCGGAUUGUAGGACUGUGCCAUUGCCAUGUUCACACGCGGCUGCCAGGAGGUUGGGGCUGGUGUGUUGUACCGCUGCCCUGUAGCAGGCGCAUACGAAGACCCUUGGAGUUGAGUACAGAGGCGUGCGCUGUGUCCAUGAUGACCACACAGCUGACAGCGACCCUGAUAACCGCGCGGGGCUGAGUCGGAGCGUGGUGGAAACUGCUGUUGUUGUUGCCAAGUUUGAUGUCCUCUGUUAUUGUUCCGGUUCGAGUUGUGAGAGUUCCUGCGAUUGUUGUUGGAAGAGAAGUUCCGGACCUGAGCUGCAUUAGCUGUUAUCGGCUGAUCUGUAGAGGUAGUGUUCUUGGUCUUCAGCUUAACUUCAUGAUUGAGAAGCUUUUCAUGAAUUUCCGUAAGAGAUGGAGGCGUCUCUCUGCUUUCGAUCUGGUCCACAAUCUGUUGGUAUUCUUCGGAAAGACCAUCAAGAACGUAUUCGAUCUGAUCCUCAAUGUCAAAUGGCUUCCCUAGUAGAGCCAGCUGAUCAAAGCGUGUUGUGAAACCUUGAACAUACUCAUCGAUGGACAUGGUUCCCUUGGUCCAAGCCUUAACUUGCUGUCGAAGUUGUUUGAUAUGAGCACGGCUCGGCUUUGCAUAGGUCGCAGACAAGGUUUCCCAAAUCUGAGCCGAUGUUGUCGUCGUCGAGAGGAUUGGUUGAAUGGAGACCGUAAUGGCUCCAAGCAAUGAGCUGUAGAUCAGCUUGUCCUGUCUCUUCCAGAGAGUGUACUCUGGAUUCGUGGAGAGUUCACCAUCGGUGGUGACUGUCGGAGGCGGUUGUAUCGUCGAGCCAUCGAUGUGUCCGGCGAGAUCGUAACCGUCGAGUAGGGCGUGGACUUGACGGCUCCACAUGAGGAAAUUGGAGGCCGUAAGCUUGGUGACGUUUGUCAUGUUAAUGUUGAGCAGGUGAGGGGAAUCAGACAGCUGAAUUGUUUCAGAGGAAGUCGCCGGAGAGCUUGACAUCGUAGGAGACGUGAAGAAGACGAUGAACAGUAGAAAAAAAAAAAAAUUCUUUGACGGCGUGAAAAUAAAAGAUCCCUAGGUAUCACUGCUCUGAUACCAUAUAGAUGUAUUGACUGAAUUAAGUUUAUUAGAAUGUAUACCACAAUAUUUAUACUGUAUACAAGAGGUAUAUACUAGGGAUUACAUAUUUACUAAAAGACCCUUCUAUACUUAUUCUCUACAUGAAGGAGAGUUUUUGUUGGUGCCACCACGUCUUUGAGCCUGUCUUUGUAGUUCCAAUCAACUUGGAAAAGCCACCGACAGAUAUCAUUCAUAGGUAGCUUAAAAAGAUGAGCUGUUGUUAUCUUGAAAGGUCCAUUCUAUCUUUGAUUAUGCAUAGUUUAUAAUUUUCUAACCUUCUCUUUACGUUUCCUAGUAAUUAAUAUAACUUUUACGUAGUGUUAUUAACAUAUUAAUGACUUAAAAUGUAAACAAAUGAAAGACAGACAAAGUCUUUACCUUUGGCUUUGGGUCAAGUUGUGUUCUUUGAAAAGAAAAUUCACCAAUUUUGGUCAACACACAAAGGAGAUGAUAAUUUUCUAGUCUCCGUUUCAGAUCUGCUGCCCUUCCCGACAUCCGCGGGAUUUCUUCACUAAAAUUCGUUGUCUGAAAUUCUCUUUCCGAACCGGUUCUGCUCGGCGAAGAGAAAUGACUCUUCCGGCGGUAGAAAAUGACGGUGGCUCUGUUUUUCCGGCGGACUCUAUCGGAAACAAGAGGAAUAAGUAUCAGAGAAUGGACUCCGACGCAGAGGAAACUCGUGAGGAUAAUCAUCGCAGCAGAUCCAGAAAAUACGUUAUGGCCUGCGCCUUCUUUGCGUCCUUGAACAACGUUCUUCUCGGAUACGGUUAGUCUCAACCGUCUAAUGAAUAGAGACGUUCUCCUCUGUUUUUUCUUUUUAAUUGUUUUGCUUACAAGAAACGGUGUCCGUCCUCUGCUUUUGGUAUUUUGAUGACCAGAUGUUGGUGUAAUGAGCGGUGCGGUGUUGUUCAUACAGCAGGAUCUCAACAUAACCGAAGUGCAGACGGAAGUCCUCAUCGGCAGCCUCAGCAUCAUCUCUCUCUUCGGCAGCUUAGCCGGCGGCAGAACCUCUGACUCCAUCGGCAGGAAAUGGACCAUGGCCUUGGCUGCUCUUGUCUUCCAGACCGGCGCUGCCGUCAUGGCGGUUGCUCCUUCCUUCGAGGUUCUCAUGAUCGGAAGAACUUUUGCUGGGAUUGGUAUCGGACUUGGCGUCAUG
rnacentral:lncRNA from 1 species